UGAUUUUUUGAAAUGUCAUGGCUCCAUUCAUACUUUUUUCUUAUUCUUUCAAUUGGGAUAUAUAAUGUUCAGAGCUCUUGUAUUUGGAAGCUGGAAGAAGGGCCUGAACUUUGACAUAGUGUCU